UUUAUUCAACCCUCCGAUUAGAGCAGGUUUUUAUUACGUUGCCUUUAUCUAUUUUAUUUCUCGCACUCGCUUUAUCUAUUUUAUUUCUCGCACUCGCUUUACUUUAUUUAUUUCUCGCACUCGCUUUACUUUAUUUAUUUCUCGCACUCGCUUUACUUUAUUUAUUUCUCGCACUCGCUUUACUUUUAUUUAUUUUCCGCACUCGCACUACUUUU
rnacentral:lncRNA from 1 species